rnacentral:sRNA from 1 species
UGAAGCUAAGGAUACCAACUGAUUCGC